rnacentral:tRNA from 1 species
UGCGGAUAAAGGUCGGGUGACCAGGGCGGCCUCAUAAGCCGCUGCAGCAGCGUUCGAGUCGCUGGUCCGCAACCA